GUUAACCAGGAUGGUCUCGAUUUCCUGACCUUGUAAUCUGCCCGCCUCGGCCUCCCAAAAUGCUGGGAUUGCAGGCGUGAGCCACUGCGCGUGACAUUUUGGUUUUUUUUUUUUUUUAGACAAGGUCUUGCUCUGUCGCCCAGGCUGGAGUGCAGUGCACGAUCAUGGUGCAGUGCAGCCUUGACCUUCUGGCUCAGGUGGUCCUCCUGCCUCAGCCUCCCAGGUAGCUGCAGCCUCUGUCCCUUCAGGAGGGAUCAGGCCUCCGGGAACAGUCACCGGAGGGCUCCCAGGUGAUGGGGGUGACGGAGUCAAAUGCUGAGGGCCGGGCAGGCGAUGGAGUUACAGGAAGUGGUUCCCCUGACAGACACGCAGAACACCCUUUACCUCGGCAAGGAAACGGGGUCCCGCCCGUGACUGUGGGAGUGGCUGCCACAUUGGAUUGAAUGACGUCCUCCAAACUCACAUCCACCCAGAAUCUCAGGACGUGACCUUACUUGGAAAGAGGGUCUUUGCAGAUGUGUUAGUUAAGAUGAGUUAAGAUGGGAUUAGGCAGGCCGGGUGCAGUGGCUCACAUCUGUAAUCUUGGCACUUUGGGACACCAAGGCGGGUGGAUCACCUGAAGUCAGGAGUUCGAGACCAGCCUGGCCAACGUGGUGAAACCCUGUCUCCA
rnacentral:lncRNA from 1 species